CUGUUUGAUCCUCAUGCUUAGAUCCUAUCGUCCACUAUAGCUUAGGAUAAAAGUGCUGAUUUGUAAUGGAAAAAUACACAUAUAAUCAUAGAUGAUCAAGCAUAAGUGUAAAAUGACAAAGAACAGCUAAUGCAUUAAAAUGCAUGAACUGAAGUGGCUAAAUAUAUGACUGGAACACAGGAGUGAGUCCCAGAGGAGCAUCGCGCGCGCACAGGUGAGACCCGACACAGUGACGUCACGGGCGUCGCGCAGGUGAGCGCGUGUUGCCGGGCGUUGACUGUUGUUAAGAGACCCGUUAUUCAUAUUCUCACACAAUCCCGCAUUUAAAUGAAAACUGCGGCUGCCGUGGACUGUCCUCAGAGCAGCCGAUUAUUGAUCCGCUGCGAACUUUGGACCGACAAACACUGCGACUCCCGCAGAACAUGAGAAGAGCCGAGCUUGUGUGAGUCCUGCUAAGAACCACCAGAACCGGGACCGAGAGUCUGUUCGCGGAGCCGAGGAUGAGCGCGAGAUAACGGUCCGGUUCGUGAUGGAGCUCGGGAACCAGUUCAGAUCGGAUCCGAAUCGAGAGCGAGCCAGCGACACUAUUCCUCGCGCCGAUCCGGAUCAGACCCAAAAAAGGAGGAGGAGCUUCCCGAAAUGGCUGAUUGGCCUCAUCUUCACCAUCAUCAUCCUCGUCUUGGCAGGAUCUUCAUCUCUUAUCUGGUACUUUCUGGAGUACAGGGUGUGGGUUCUGGAGCCGCGGCUGGUCCAGCAGUACACAGCCAGUGUUUCUAUACUCAAUCUGAACUUCUCUGUCAGUCUGUCAAGCCACGAGAGCUCAGAGUUCAGAGCGGCGGCUGCGUCUGUGCAGAACAUGGUGGAGAAGCUGCUGAAGUGCACAGACCUGUCCAGAUACUUCAACUCCAGCGCAGUGUUUGCGUUCGGGAACGGCAGUGUGGUGGCUCAUCUCUGGCUGCGUCUGUCGGUUCCUAGCAGUCGUGUGGAGACGGUGAGCAUCCAGCGACUGAACGAGAGCGUGUUCAGAGAACUGCAGCGCUUCAGCGACGCUCAGCAGAUCAGCAGAUACGAGGGUUUCCAUCUGCUGCUGCCCUCGCUCAGCUUCACCGGU
rnacentral:lncRNA from 1 species